AUUAGUUAUGAAGAAUGUUUUCUUAUAUAUUUAUUUUGUGGGAACUAAGUACUUGUUAACUUUAUAUAAUUUAGAUGUCAAGAAGAGGUGACAAAGGUAAGGGAAAAGUUGAUCUUACAAAACCAAAAAAGAAAAGACAACUUUCGCCUUAUAGAUGACCGACAAGUAUUCAUAUAUUUGAGGGUUGGUUUGCUGACCCGACAACACGACCCUCAUAUUCUAGGUUGUCCCAGCAUUCGGUUCCCACUCCUACCAUGUGGGGCCACUUGAUGGGUCUAUACCGACCUAAUCUGCUCCUAUUACCAUGCCACGACCAUCACAGUACUAUCAGAUAGCCGCUGGCAUAUCCGAACAUGUGCCAUCAUCGAUACCCUCCUGUAGCAGUCAGCAGCUUCGCACAGUGAUUCUGCUGGAUCUAUUGGGUUGUCGGAUCUUCAGCUUGGAGGCACUCAAUCUGGUGCUUCAGAUCUGCCCACGUCAGUGCAUCCACCAUCAUUUGAUCCGCAGCCAGGAGACAGAGAUAAUUAUGGGAGGUGUUGUCUCAUUCCAUUUGCGACAGGGUUUAGGCCGGAUGCUAAAGUUGGAUAAGUUAUGAGAAAAUGCAUUUGUCGGAACUUCAACGGCUACUGGACCAAUUGGCAAAAGGUUCCAGAACUUGACAGGGAGAGAAUGUUUAAAGAAUUUAAUAAAUUUUACUGGUGGGAUGAUACAAAUACAUGUCUUAUAAAGAGGAACUUUUUCAGAAGAUGUAGAUUCAGGUUUAACGGUCUGUUGGAUCAUGCCCGAACCAAGUUGGUAAAACCUGAUUGGAUUAGUGAACCCUUAUAGCAACAAUAUAUUUGCCUUUGGAAUAACAAAGAAUACCAAUUACUGAGGGAAAAAGAAAAGAAAGCCCAGACAUCAUCCAAGGGUGGCUCCCUACAUAUUGCGGGUGCCAAAAGUGCCCUUGUUGUGCAGGAAAAAAAUGGAAAAAGAAAAGGGUAGGGGCAUACCAUACGAUGAGCUAUUCGAGGAGACUCAUCUG